rnacentral:rRNA from 1 species
CACGUAGGGGGCAAGCGUUGUCCGGAUUUAUUGGGCGUAAAGAGCGUGUAGGCGGCUAUACAGGUCAGCUGUGAAGACUCGAGGCUCAACCUCGAGACGUCGGUUGAAACCGUAUGGCUAGAGUCCGGAAGAGGAGAGUGGAAUUCCCAGUGUAGCGGUGAAAUGCGCAGAGAUCGGGAGGAACACCAAUGGCGAAAGCAGGUAACUGGACUAUUACUGACACUCAGCUGCGAAAGCUAGGGGAGCAAACAGG